AUUGAACGCUGGCGGCAGGCCUAACACAUGCAAGUCGAACGAGUGGCGGACGGGUGAGUAAUGUCUGGGAAACUGCCUGAUGGAGGGGGAUAACUACUGGAAACGGUAGCUAAUACCGCAUACCAUCGGAUGUGCCCAGAUGGGAUUAGCUAGUUGGUGGGGUAACGGCUCACCAAGGCGACGAUCCCUAGCUGGUCUGAGAGGAUGACCAGCCACACUGGAACUGAGACACGGUCCAGACUCCUACGGGAGGCAGCAGUAGGGAAUCUUGCGCAAUGGGCGCAAGCCUGACCGAGCCAUGCCGCGUGAAUGAAGAAGGCCUUCGGGUUGUAAAGUACUUUCGGUAGGGAGGCGGUAUCUGCAGAAGAAGCACCGGCUAACUCCGUGCCAGCAGCCGCGGUAAUAC
rnacentral:rRNA from 1 species